rnacentral:rRNA from 1 species
UACAGAGGCCUCGAGCGUUAGGCGGAAUCACUGGGCUUAAAGCGUGUGUAGGCGGACUUCUAAGUACCUUGUGAAAUCCCACGGCUUACCCGUGGAACGGCUGGGUAUAGUGGUUGUCUUGAGCCACUUAGGGGCUACCGGAACAAAUGGUGGAGCGGUGAAAUGCGUAGAUAUCAUUUGGAACGCCAAUGGUGAAAACAGGUAGCUGGGAGUGUGCUGACGCUGAGACACGAAAGCCAGGGGAGCGAACGGG